rnacentral:tmRNA from 1 species
GGGGCUGUUUAGGUUUCGAUACCUAAAAAAAACUAAUAAGUGUGAUGCAAGUAGAGGAAAAACCCUCUUAAAAAAAAAGCAAACAAUAAAUGCAAACAAUAUUUUAUCUUUUAAUCGAGUAGCUGUAGCCGUAUAGUUAUAUAGCAUUAACUCCUUAUGGUCAAAAAAUCUAGAAAGUUUGAUCGUAAAGCAAACCUUAGCUAGAAGCACACAAGAAUAACGAAUUAUAGAUCUUGUGUAAAGAAAAAUUCAAAAAAAAAAAACACGCUUUGACAAAAAGCUAAACUUGUGAGCGAGCAUUAUUAUUUUUUUUGGGUAGACGUGGGUUCGAAUCCCACCAGCUCCA